rnacentral:ncRNA from 1 species
CAAGUCCUCUAUGUGGUAAUGCCUAGCAAGCAGCCAAGGCCCCUAGUCAUGGGCUUUGCACCGUAAGGUGUCGAGUUAAGCGUGGACAGGGGAGCCCAUAGGCUGAGUAUUGAGCUGCGAAAUCUAACUUAAGAGUGCUGGCCUUGUUGGGUGAAGGGGAAGGUCAUAUAAGCCGUAGACGCUAUGCAAGUCACAGCUUAACUCUUCAUGAAUAAU